CCUACGGGGGGCAGCAGUGGGGAAUAUUGCGCAAUGGGCGAAAGCCUGACGCAGCGACGCCGCGUGAGGGAUGAAGGUCUUCGGAUCGUAAACCUCUGUCAGCAGGGAAGAACGGUCACUGUGCUAAUCAGCCGUGAAUUGACGGUACCUGCAAAGGAAGCACCGGCUAACUCCGUGCCAGCAGCCGCGGUAAUACGGAGGGUGCGAGCGUUAACCGGAAUUACUGGGCGUAAGGCGCUCGUAGGCGGUAUGUCAAGUCAAGGGUGAAAUCCCCGCGCUCAACGUGGGAACUGCCUUUGAAACUGGCAAACUGGAGUGUGUGAGAGGAUAGUGGAAGUCCAGGUGUAGGAGUGAAAUCCGUAGAUAUCUGGAGGAACAUCAGUGGCGAAGGCGACUAUCUGGCACAUAACUGACGCUGAGGAGCGAAAGCGUGGGUAGCAAACAGGAUUAGAUACCCCUGUAGUC
rnacentral:rRNA from 1 species